rnacentral:lncRNA from 1 species
UGCAUGAUACAAAUUAUUCAUGGGUGUCUGAUGGAUAUUCAAUGAAUAGAAGAAAAAAAUUAGGCAAAUAAAGGGGGACCCAUGGGUGCAUGAAUUGCAUGAAGAUAAGUGCUGGCUGUAGGAGGAUUUGAAGCAAGCGGGCAUCAUGAGUUUUUUUUGAAGGUAGGACCCAGUAGUUUGAAUUUGCAUGGACUUCACAGACCAAACAGAG